AAAAUCCGUCGACUUUAGAAAUCGUGAGGGUUCAAGUCCCUCUAUCCCCCCAAAAAGACCGAUUUGACUAUUUCUCCUACCCUCUCUUUUUUUUAGUGGUUCAAAAUCCGUUCUCUUUCUCAUUCAUUCUACCUUUUUACAAACGUAUUAGAGCAGAAUUUUUUUUUUCUUUUAUCACAAUCACAAGUGGUGUGGUAUAUAUGAUAUACGUACAAAUGAACAUCUUUGAACAAAGAAUCCCGAUUCACAAUUCAUAUCAUUGCUCAUACUGAAACUUAUAAAUUAUUCUAUUGAAGAAAUCUAAUUCCACGCUCAAGACUUUUAAUACUUUUUUAUCUUUUUUAAUUGACAUAGACCCCAGUCAUCUAGUAAAAUGAGGAUGAUGCGCCGGUAAUGGUCGGGAUAGCUCAGCUGGUAGAGCAGAGGACUGAAAAUCCUCGUGUCACCAGU
rnacentral:tRNA from 1 species